GUGCUUGUUUUGGAAGCAUAUAUAUUAAAAUUGGACUAAUGUAGAGAAAAUUAGCAUGGCCUGCACAAAAACGACAUGUAAGUUAUUGAAACAUUUCAUAUUUGU